rnacentral:rRNA from 1 species
UACAGAGGUCUCAAGCGUUGUUCGGAUUCAUUGGGCGUAAAGGGUGUGUAGGUGGCGCCGUAAGUCGGGUGUGAAAGCCCCGGGCUCAACCUGGGAAUUGCAUUCGAGACUGAAUAGCUAGGGUACGGUAGAGGGAAGUGGAAAUUUCCGGUGUAGCGGUGAAAUGCGUAGAUAUCGGAAGAACAUCGAGUGGCGAAAGCGACUUCCGUGGACCAGUACCGACUUCAGCACGAAGCCGUGGGGAGGCAAGCAGGAAAUAGAA